AACGUAGGAGGCGAGCGUUAUCCGGAUUUACUGGGCGUAAAGCGCACGCAGGCGGUUCCGUUAGUCGGACGUGAAAGCUCCUGGCUUAACUGGGAGAGGCCAUUCGAUACUGCGGGACUUGAGGUUGGGAGAGGAGUGUGGAAUUCCCGGUGUAGUGGUGGAAUGCGUAGAGAUCGGGAGGAACACAUGUGGCGAAAGCGGCACUCUGGCCCACACCUGACGCUGAGGUGCGAAAGCGUGGGUAGCAAACAGG
rnacentral:rRNA from 1 species